rnacentral:rRNA from 1 species
GAUGAACGCUGGCGGCGUGCUUAACACAUGCAAGUCGAACGGGACUACCCGGAAAGAGGAUUCGUCCAAUUGAAGGGUAUGUUUAGUGGCGGACGGGUGAGUAACGCGUGAGUAACCUGCCUUGGAGUGGGGAAUAACAGCUGGAAACAGCUGCUAAUACCGCAUGAUAUGUCUGAAUCGCAUGGUUCCGGACAUCAAAGAUUUAUCGCUCUGAGAUGGACUCGCGUCUGAUUAGCUAGUUGGCGGGGCAACGGCCCACCAAGGCGACGAUCAGUAGCCGGACUGAGAGGUUGGCCGGCCACAUUGGGACUGAGACACGGCCCAG